UCCCAUGUGGUCUAGUGGUUAGGAUUCCUGGUUUUCACCUAUGUGGCCUGGGUUCAAUUCCCAGUGUGGGAA